rnacentral:snRNA from 1 species
AUACUUACCUGGCAGGGGAGAUACCAUGAUCACGAAGGUGGUUUUCCCAGGGCGAGGCUUAUCCAUUGCACUCUGGAUGUGCUGACCCCUGUGAUUUCCCAAAAUGUGGGACACUCGACUGCAUAAUUUGUGGUAGUGGGGGACUGUAUUCAUGCUCUCCCUUG